ensembl:lncRNA
AUGCUUUCUUCGCUUCACACCUCGUCCCAUCUCUCCGUCUCCGUCUCUCACCAGCUCGCUUUAGAUCUGUCUGUGUGGGAAUGUAGGUCUCUCAGGGCCGGUCGGUCGGGUCAGAGCAGGCUUACGGCUGUAAUCUCCCCAGCAGACGUCCAUAUCAGGAGCGGCAGGAGGAGGUGUGACGCUCGUCUAGACGGGCCGCAGACGCUUCCCCUCCCCCAGAGACCUGCUGUUCCUGGCACACAACGGACCACGGGGCAUUCACAUUAUACUGAGGGAAUUUUCUCUCACAGAAACUCAUUCACAUUGUGUAUGAAGCCUCAUGGAAUAUUAAAAUGUGACAGCUGGGGGAAAACAAAAUGUGAAUCUGAAACUCAAAAACAAUGUGGGUCAUUAGUUGUGAGAUUUUCUGCCCAAAUAAACCACUUUUGACCAACAAAUUUCCAUGACUUUUACAGUUGAUCAUGAGUACUGGAUAAGUUUAGAAUAUUUUAUAAAUCUUGCGCACACAAUUGCUAGCAGAAAUAAAUAAAUAAAUAGUAAAGAUGCAGUCGACCAUGAUUAAUGGACAAAUAUAAAAAAAUAUUAUAAAACUUGCAAUCACAAUU